rnacentral:rRNA from 1 species
AUGAGCUCCCGGAUGGCCGGAUCGGUCCUCCUCCGCCGUGUCGGCGCCGGCGCCAACCGCCUCUUCGCCACCACCGCGACGUCCCCGGGGGCCAGGACCUCCCUCACUGGCGGCAAGGGGGCGUUGGUGCGGAUGAUGUCCACUUCUGCGGCCUCGCAGCCAUGGGAGACGUACACCGCGGACAUGUCGAUCGAUCUGACCAAGCACCACGUGCCCAACACGAUGCUCGACAAGAUCGCCUACUACACCGUCAAGUCCCUGCGCUUCCCCACCGACAUCUUCUUCCAGGACGAGCUGCAGCAGGACAACCUGGAGCGGAAGAACUUCGAGGGCAAGAUCAAGGAGAACCAGGAGACGAUCACCGGUUACCUCAUCCUCGUCGCCAUGCUUCGCUUCUUUGGCAGUCCCCUCUUUGGCCCCGACCAACUUACUUCUGUCGCUGGCUAG